rnacentral:rRNA from 1 species
UACGGAGGGUGCAAGCGUUAAUCGGAAUUACUGGGCGUAAAGCGCACGCAGGUGGCUGAGUCAGUCGAUUGUGAAAGCCCUGGGCUUAACCUGGGAAUUGCAGUCGAUACUACUCAGCUAGAGUAUGGGAGAGGGGUGUGGAAUUCCAGGUGUAGCGGUGAAAUGCGUAGAUAUCUGGAGGAACAUCAGUGGCGAAGGCGACACCCUGGACUCAUACUGACACUGAGGUGCGAAAGCGUGGGGAGCAAACAGG